UCCUGGUGAAUCGACUAAUACUGGAUGCAGGUCUCACAGCUGAACUGGUUAAACUUUGGAACGAGCAGACAGUGGAAGGAAUAGUGGCCAGAUUUGUAGCCACGGAUGGAGGAAUAACAAGAGUCUACCCGAGAAGUGCUGAGGAAGAGUGGACUGAGAAUCCUGAGACAUAUGAGUCCAGCUUCUACAAAAGGACCCUGGACAAUAAA